CCAAUAGCGUAUAUUAAAGUUGUUGCAGUUAAAAAGCUCGUAGUUGAAUUUCGGGGUCAGUAGGUUGGUCGUGCCACUGGUACGUACUGGUCUCACUGAUUCCUCCUUCCUGAUGAACCGUAAUGCCAUUAAUUUGGUGUUGCGGGGAAACUGGACUGUUACUUUGAAAAAAUUAGAGUGUUUAAAGCAGGCUAACGCUUGAAUACAUUAGCAUGGAAUAAUGAAAUAGGACGUUCGAUCCUAUUUUGUUGGUUUCUAGGAUUGACGUAAUGAUUAAUAGGGAUAGUUGGGGGCAUUAGUAUUCAAUUGUCAGAGGUGAAAUUCUUGGAUUUAUUGAAGACUAACUACUGCGAAAGCAUUUGCCAAGGAUGUUUUCAUUAAUCAAGAACGAAAGUUAGGGGAUCGAAGACGAUCAGAUACCGUCGUAGUCUUAACCAUAAACUAUGCCGACUAGGGAUCGGAUGAUGUUAUUUUUAAUGACUCAUUCGGCGCCUUACG
rnacentral:rRNA from 1 species